UUUUUUUGAAGAUAAUCCGCGUCUACUCAAAAUAAUAGCACAAAGCAUCAACAGCUCGAAAAAUUUGAAGUACCAAUAGAUGCAUUUUAUAAGUACAUAAAUUUGUAGAUGAGCCCUUAAGAACUUUAUGAUUACCUACGUAUAAAAAGUGGUCCAUUCAUGUAGGUUGGUAGGUAGGUAGGUAGGUAGGUAGGUACCUACUAUUGCAAAAAAAAAAUUGAUGAAUAUUUUAUUCUACAACUAAUAUCGAGCUUCCAUAAGAUUCUUUUCAAAAAUAUCUCAGAGAUCUUUAAAUAAUGUUGGAGGUUUUCAUUAAAAUAAAUUAGAUAUAAGUAUUGAAUAAAUAGGUAGUCUACAUUGGCAAACAAUAAAAAUAUUAUAUAGAUACGUUUAAUACAUACUUCCACGUCCCCGAAUGGAUUAUUUAGGAAAAUUGUGCACACACUGUGUAUAGAUCCUCCAAAUCAUCGAAACAACUUUUAUUGUUAGAAAUGUCAUAAAAUAUUUCAGUAAUUUGGUCAGGAUGAGGAACAUGUUCCACAAUGAAUUUUAUUUUGGGCUAUUCUGAUCUACAACUGUUUUAGCGAUGAAUUAAAAAACAGUACAUAUGGAUUCGGACGUUUUAUUUUAUCAUACCUACUCAAUUUUUGACUUGAAUUCAUAUGUUGGUAUCUUGAAAAACGAAACAGGCUCGGUAUACUUACUAAAGCUUUUGGAGGAUAAUCCGCAAUUUUUUCAAAUCAUUUUUUAAUAUUGAUGAACGCACUAACACAACUCUCCCCCGGGGUUUCAAACGAAAUGUUGCCUAUAUCUUGUAGCUCUUUGAUUUCAAGUCCUGGAAUAUGAGGUUGAAUGUUGGAAAUUUUACCGUGUAUUUUAAAUGGGAGAAAAAAUUUUUAAAUUAAAAACGUAAACAAAUGGCUAUGAUCAACGGGUAGAACUCGAUGAGAGAAACAAAAAAUGUUAUUUAAACUUUUUGCGUAGCUCCACUUUCGAAGAAGUUAGAGAUCAUCGAAGAUCAGAACUGAAAAUUUAAUAGGCAAAUUUUACAUAUUUAUGUAGGUAUUUUUUUUAAAUCAGUAGUUUGUUGCUAUGAGUGGGUAGCACAAGUCUCUAUGAACAAAAAACAUAUCACUUUUUGCCUAAUCUCAUUAUUGAAGGGAUUGUUUUGUGUUUUUUAAUCCAAACUCACAUGAGUGAAAACUGAUUAUAAAAUAAACUUUUAUAGAAAAUUCUUAUUCUCGCGAUUAUAAUUUUCGUUUGUGUUAGGUGUGCAUAUGCUGAUUAUUUUAAAACAAGUGAUACAUAAUACAUUUUCGCACCAUGAACAUUGUAAAAAUGACUUCGUCAAAUUGCAAACAUCGCAUUUAUUUUUUAUAAAAUUGAAAUUUAUGUUUUUAUUAAACUGGUGUAUCCUUCGAGGAUUUCCACAUUAAAUCUCCACUUUCUCCAGCCGGCUUUAAAAAUCGAAUGAAACUUGGGGGACUGGAAUUGAUUUAAAAUUAGAUUGUUGAGCAAAAUAAUAUCGUAUUAUUACGAUCAUGAAGUUAUGUCAUCACUAGUAGAAGGAUCAAUCAUUGUCAAUAAACGAGGAUUCGGACGUUUGAUUUUUAUUAUAAUUUUCAACUUGAAUUCGUAUCUAAAAAACAAAACUUGAAUUUAAUUACUUAUAGCGGAUAGCUAACUAAAUAAAUUGAUUAAAAAUGAAAUAAUUUUUGAUAAAUUCCAAUUUUUUUGAAUUGGUAUGACCUAUUGAUACUUAGCUUCAAGCCUAUUCUUCAUGAUGGGUAGAUAGGUUGUGAAAAAUCUGAUGCUUUUCAAAAAUAACUUGGAAAUGUCUAAAAUAAUGUUGGAGAUUUCAUUAAAAAAAAAAUUAGGUGCAUCGUAUAAGUAUUUAACAGUUGAUAUCUGCAAAAUAUACUUAGGUAGGUACGUUUAAUACAAACUUCACGUCGCCAAGUGGAUUAUUCAAUUUUUUUGGAUUGCUCAAUUCCAAUGCAUGCUUUUCGUAAAAAUGUCUGAGUUAAAGUAAAGUUUCAUAUUCUUCAUGAUUUCGUUUGCUCCAAAAUAUUCUCAGUAUUUAGAAAGAGCGUUAUAUUAAUUUGAAAAAAUGCACCUAUAUUGACAAAAAAAACAUUCGUUUGAGCUCUGUUCAAUCAAUGAGCAAUUUUUGUGCUUUUUUAAAAUUUCCAAGAGAAUGUUCAUCUCAAAUCUCAAUCACAAUUUAUUGUCACUUCUAAAUAGGUACCGGUACCCAUCUAUGAAGGAAUAAGGUAUAGUACUAGCUAGCGUAUUUGUUUUAAUAAAGUAUAAGAUCCAAAUCUCGAGAUAUUUAUUAAUGAAAUUAUAAUAAUUUUUAUCAAUAUUUACGUAAUUUAAAAAAAAUUAUCAACUCUAAAUUUAAAUUAAUAAUUAAAUAUCAAAAUUACAAAUAUUAAUCUUUUCGUACUAAAUUUACGAUUUAAUUCGCAAUCUUGUUACCUACUCAAGUUACGAGUUUUCUCGCCUUGCUUUUCUUCUGUCUCUAUUAAAAUGAAAUAAAUAAGUAAGCAAAAAAAUUAAAAAAUAUACAAAAGAAAACAAAAGAUCCGAAAAUAUUGAAUGUAGAAAUCAAAAAAAUUACACAACAAAAUUUGAAGUUUUGAAAACAUUACAUGUAUAGGUAAUGAACAAAAAAAAAAAAAUUAGCCUUUCAGUGCAUGCUGUGCAUAAAAAAAUAAUUUGAAUCUAAUUGAAAAACAAAAUAUGGUAAACAAAAUGUAAUGAUAAUGAACCAUUUCAUUCUUAUAUUAAAAAAAAAAAAAAAAAAAAAAAUGAAAAGAUGAAUAAAAAAUGAAAAUUUGAAAAAAAAGAAAACUUAUUAAUACACGUACAAAAUUUACUCGCGGUCAUCAAUCAAUGGAAAAUUGGAAAAAGAAAACAGCGGAAACGAAAAAAAAGAAGCGGAGACAUUGCGAAGCGUACCUACUCAAUCAGAAAUGAAAAAGAGACACCAGUAUGUAUUGCAAUAAAGAUUCUCCAGCGAUUCGCCGGUUUCAUCAGUCAUAUAAAUAACGUCAGAGACAACGAUAACAUUCCAAGCAUUCAACAAAUGAAAUAUUAAUCGAUAUUUUCACAUUCUGGCGAAACACAACAACCGAUCCAAAAUACAGUUAUCAACCAACUUCUCCUUCAAUAAAUUUUAGAAGCGAUGCAAGACCCAGAACAUCAACCGUCUCAGCUGGCUAAAGAUCAAGAAAAUUAUAUGUUCAAAAACAAAAUAGAUUAAAUGGUCUUGAUCGCUGAAAAUAGCAAAAAUACAGUCAACAUAGUUUUCUCAGCAUUCAACAUGGAGCGAAAUGACGAAAAACCCUCCAUUCAGUGACAUCAGUAACAAUAAUGAGAAAUCUACUGAUUGUCAGAUCGACGGAUGCAAUUUACCUUUGUGUAAUGUGCAAUAAAAACAUGCUAUUGAAAAAAUUACUGAAAAUUCAAUCUAAGGCAAGUUCAAUAGAAUCUGGCUCAUAAGAGUACCUACUGGAAAUGGUGACGGAGGUGAUAAGCAUACCACAAAAUUUUCAUUCCAUGUUUCAACUAUGGGCUCGAUUUGAAAACAACUAAAAAAGUGCGAUGGUAGUUCUGCGAGUAUAUUUAAUGGCUUGCUAUGUUCAGCUGCCAUAUUUCUCAUGAUAUUUUAUGUACCUACUUAUACAUAUCUACUUACUAUACGAUGAGAAAAUUUAUUCUCUUGAAAUUUCAAGUAAUUUAGUACCACAUUUGUACAUUUAUUGAAUGAGUUACCUACCUGUACCUUCAAUGCACUUACUCGUACUUUUAAUUGUGUUAUUAUUGUACCUACUUGAUCUAUUUUUUAAAUUAAAAAUAUGCAAGUUGAAACUUUUAUUGUU